GACGUAGGGCGCGAGCGUUGUCCGGAAUUAUUGGGCGUAAAGAGCUCGUAGGCGGUUCGGCAAGUCGGAUGUGAAAUCUCCACGCUUAACGUGGAGGGGCCAUUCGAAACUGCCGUGACUCGAGUCCGGUAGGGGAGUGCGGAAUUCCCGGUGUAGCGGUGAAAUGCGCAGAUAUCGGGAGGAACACCAGUGGCGAAGGCGGCACUCUGGGCCGGAACUGACGCUGAGGAGCGAAAGCGUGGGGAGCGAACAGG
rnacentral:rRNA from 1 species